rnacentral:tRNA from 1 species
GGUCCCGUAGCUCAGCUGGUUAGAGCUUUAUGCUUAUAUCGUAAGGGUCGGGAGUUCGAUCCUCCCCGGGAUCA